rnacentral:hammerhead_ribozyme from 1 species
AUCCAGCUGAUCAGUUCCAAAUAGGACGAAACGCGCGUCAAACUGAAU